AAAGUACUCCCUCCGUCCGAAAAUGCUUGUCGAAUAAAUGAAUGUAUCUAGACGCAACUUAGUUCUAGAUACAUCCAUUUUCAUCUAUUUCUCCGACAAGUAUUUUCGGACGGAGGGAGUAGCUU
rfam:Triticum aestivum genome assembly, contig: Triticum_aestivum_CS42_TGACv1_scaffold_593116_7BS